UUUACAACAUCACAAUGUCCUUAUUUGCAAUAUUAAAUAUCAAGCAAGUUAGUGUUCACAGAUAUCUAAUCCUCAUGAAUAAAGAAUAAUUAUUGCACUGUUAUCUGCAAGUUUGUUAUUCACAGUAUAACAUAACUUGCCAAUUAAAUUUUAAAAAUGCUUUGAUUUUCAUUUUAUAUUUACAAUAACGAGAAAAUAAAAUCAGUAAGAGACAGAAACGAAAAAAAAGGUCAUUUUUUUCAUUUUCUGAGACCGGAAGUAGUCAUCAGCAAGGGUGGGGCCAAACAGAGUGCUGUGCAUAGACUGUAUACCAGCAGACACUGAAAGGACUCUGAUUGUUCAGUGUCUCAUGUUCACUGUGAGGAUCUUCUGAGUGAAGCCAACAGAAGGAAAACCUCAUCUGGAUGUGAAGAAGGAGACUGAAUGGAUGACAUCCUCAGUGAACCACUUCCUGUUUAGUUUUCACUUACAGAAGGACAGACCAACUGUUUCAGCAGUUUAUUAUUCUCUGUUCAUGCAGACAGGUGCUCUGCUUUGGAGUGUGACGAUGUCGUCGGUGAUGUGGAGAGGGAAGUUUCCGUUUCACCCACAGCGUGCUUUAGGACACCCGGAGUGAAAGUAGCAGUUCCUCCUUAAGGUCAGAGACUGCAGCAUCUGAGGGCCUCUUCAAAAGAAGACGUAGUUGAUGAAGAUAAAGAUGAAGGCGUUCUGGAGCACGACCAAGCAGCCUGGAGAUCUCAGGCAGCGUCUCCCUCAGGUGGGUGUCAACGGUGUUCACGGUCAGGUCCGUGGUAAAAAAACAAAACAGAAAAAUUCUAGAUUAUAAAUCAACAUGUAACCAAAGCACUGUGUGUAUAACACCAUAGUAUAGGAUGUAGUUCAGGAAAUGUCAAAGUAUAGUAUACUUUUCAAGAAUAACAUAGUACGGCCUGUAGUUCAUAGUAUAGCAUGUCAGCAACAAAAUAAAACCAUAGAUUAUUAUGUGGUUCAAAAAGCGGAAGUUCAAUGGCAAGAAGAAGGCGUGGAGGAUGAUGUUGAUGAGGGGUUUCUGGAUGAUUUCGACCCAGAAAUGACUGAGGAAGAUGUCGUUGCUGGGCUCAAGAGACUGGCACAAUUUGAAGAUGUUGAUAAGAUGAUGUAGAUGGACAUCUAGUUCAACUAAGUUGAGAUUGUAAAGACGAAUAGAGACUGAUUUUUUUUGUAAUGAGAGACUGAUUAUUUCGAUUCUAAUGGUAAGCAGGUUGUAAGAGAAGAGCUCAUUAAAAGAAAUUGACUUCCUGAGAAGUUAUAUUUAUUUUUUAUUUUAUGUAAACAACGCGAAGUACGGGCCACUAGUUUUUUGUACGGGCUACCAGAAAUUUAGAUUUGGCAGGAGUUGGUGGCCCAUAUUUUCCUGUACGGGCCACCAGAGAUUUUGACGAAGCUUACACACUGUGGCAGGAUGUUGUAUGAUAUGUGGUUCAAAAAAUGACAAUGAACAAUUCAAAGGUCCCUCUCUAUCUCCCCACACAUCCACCAACCAUUGGAACACAUCUCCAAAGUUCUGCUGAAGCUCAGCUUCCCCUCGGAAGAAGUGCUGCCAGAUGAAGGAGCUUUUUGAGAGGCAGCUGGCAUCGUGAUUGGACGGUACUUUGGUCUGAUUCAGUCCAGCUUCAGCUCCAGAGACGGCAGGCGGGACGAGUCAAAGGAGGCCGAGUAGAUGAAGGCAUGCAGCUGAGUACAAUCCAGAAAACAACAGAGGAGGAGUGCAGUGGCCCAGAGCCAGAACAGAGUAACAUAGUAUGUCACUGAGAAAACAUCAUAGUUAGCCUUUGGUUCAAGAAAACACCAUCAUAUACAUCAUAUAUUGUACAAAUAACAAAUCAAAGGAAAAAGACAUACAUUGUAGAAUUGUAGUAAUUGUGGGCUGACUGAUUUACUGAUUAUCAAUAUUUUGUUUUUUACUGAUUUACGGUAAUAAAUACAUUUAAAAAUGCCACUACUUUGGCUCUGAACCUGUAUCUACCUGUGGUCGCUCUGUCUUCUGGAGUGAUUUUAUUGGUUGUACAUCACGAAUAAAACUCCUUUAACUUAACAUCUGUAAACAAAACAAAAACGUAUCAACAAAGUUUUCUGUUAGAGUUUGUGUUCUUUUAAGUUUAACUCUAAGAUUUUAAAUACUUUCAUUUAUUGCAAAUUAAUAUCUUUUCCAAAUGUCUCACUAAUAAUCAUUAUCAGCCUUAAAAACCCACAAAACACCCCUCUAUACUCGACCACACUUAGUACAGUCCGGUUCCCCUUCUAUAAAUCUGCUUGGAAUCUUCCACUUCCUGUUUGUCAAAGUGGCCUUCUACCUGGACAGGUUUUGUUGGAGCUCAUGCAACAAAAAUUUUGGGUUACUGCACUUUAAUAUGGAUGGAUGACACUGAAUUAGAGUCUGUUUUAAUGAGACUGAGUUCAGAUGUGUAGCUCUGUCAUUAAACAGGAAAUUAUUUCUCAGAAUUCACAGAGAAAAGUCUGAAAUGUUUGCUAGGUUAGCGUCCCACGUGUUCUUUGGCUCAGCUAAAGCUAACGCUCUCCAACUUCUGGAUCUCUGGAGUUGCUUGUUGUUCGAAUAUCUUGCUAGAGGUGCUGAAGUUUACAAAGUCUGAGAUGUUUGUUCAGAAUAAGCUCAUUCUCAAGUCUUAUCUGAACUGUCCUCUUUUCUUUGAACUUUGUUUGAACUGCUGUUUGAGCAGCAGAUCCAGACUCAGUCUCAUUUAGGUAGCGAUUAAACUUCAGUGUCAUUCAUUGAUAUUAAAGUGCAGUUUUUCAGAUGUUUGUUGCACAUGCUCCCGACCAAACCAGUCCAGGUGGAAGACAAUGUGAAGAGAAGCUCCAGUGGAUGAAUAUCGCACAUUUAUGUUGGAAAUGAAUGUUCUUUUAUUGGA